rnacentral:rRNA from 1 species
UACAGAGGUCCCAAGCGUUGUUCGGAUUUACUGGGCGUAAAGGGUGCGUAGGUGGUGAGGUAAGUCUGAUGUGAAAUCUCCGAGCUUAACUCGGAAAUGGCAUUGGAAACUACCUUGCUAGAGGGUUGGAGGGGGGACUGGAAUACUUGGUGUAGCAGUGAAAUGCGUAGAUAUCAAGUGGAACACCAGUGGCGAAGGCGAGUCCCUGGACAACUCCUGACACUGAGGCACGAAAGCUAGGGGAGCGAACGGG